rnacentral:rRNA from 1 species
AUGAACGCUAGCGAUAGGCUUAACACAUGCCAGUCGAGGGGCAGCACAAGGUAGCUUGCUAUCUGGGUGGCGACCGGCGCACGGGUGCGUAACGCGUAUGCAACUUGCCCUAUACAGGAGGAUAACCCGUCGAAAGACGGACUAAUACUGCGUAUGCUCACAACUUGGCAUCAAGUGGUGAGGAAAGAAAUUCGGUAUAGGAUAGGCAUGCGUCCCAUUAGCUUGUUGGUGAGGUAACGGCUCACCAAGGCAACGAUGGGUAGGGGAACUGAGAGGUUUAUCCCCCACACUGGUACUGAGACACGGACCAGACUCCUACGGGAGGCAGCAGUGAGGAAUAUUGAUCAAUGGGCGCGAGCCUGAACCAGCCAAGUCGCGUGAAGGAUGACUGUCUUAUGGAUUGUAAACUUCUUUUAUACGGGAAUAACAAGAGUCACGUGUGACUCCCUGCAUGUACCGUAUGAAUAAGCAUCGGCUAACUCCGUG